UAAGGGAGUGCAGGAGCGGUGCUAGCCCAAGAGGGUCCUCACACCUCAGCAGCUGCAGAGCAUGCUCCAAAUGGAGGAUCUGCUUAAAAGGGGACUCUGACAGUGGAUAAGACCCAACUGGGAAGCCAAGGGCAUGAUCCUUUUCCAUCCCCUGCUCCCUGCCAAGGGAGAAUAACCAGAAACUGAGAAGUGGGCUGGAGAAUACCCAUCUGACUGCUGAGACUCAUUGGGAACCCUCUGCUGGGAGUGGGGAGAAUGCAGCAACCACACACCAAACUGAAGAGAGAGUGGGGGGGUAGAAAGUGGUCUAGGGGAGGCUGGUCUGAUGUAUCAGGAAGAGGCAACUCUGAGACACUGCUAGCUUCCCCCUUGAUCCCUGAGCAGUGAUCCAGUGGAGAGGAAGGGCUGGGGUCCCUGUACCUCCCCCCUCGCUCCCACCAUCGGGAAGAACUCUGGGGGCACCAGGGAAUGACAGACUCCAGCUUGGCUACAGGGCACACAGACUGCCUGGAAAAGUGACCCUAGGACUUUGGGGACUGUUGAGCCACAGCCUGACCACUGGUCUCCGAGGGAAGCCUGCUUCAAUCCCCCACAUUCUUCACUAAGACAAAAACGUUGGAAGUGAUAGUUCCCUCAACCCCACUCUUCCCCAUAAUGCAGGAAAGGAAGAAGGAUUCAGCUGCUGAAAAUCACUGUGAGAAAGUAACUCCACUUGCAGAGCUGCACCGAUCAUAGAAUAGAAUCACAACUGAUGGGUGCCCUUCUCUGAACUUCAACUUUUUGUAUCCUCCAACUAAUGCUGUAACGAAGGGACCCAAAUUGCAUGCUGGAUUCCAAAUUGGCUGCAGUAAAAACUGAACCUGCAACCUCUGAUUUAUG